rnacentral:rRNA from 1 species
GACGAACGCUGGCGGCGUGCUUAACACAUGCAAGUCGAACGGAAAGGCCCUGCUUGUGUGGGGUGCUUGAGUAGCGGACGAGUGAGUCACACGUGAGUAACCUGCCCUUGCCUUUGGGCUAACGUCAAGAGACUGGGACUCAUACCGGAUAUGAUCUCCUGCUGCAUGGGGGGGGUUGGAAACUUUCGGCGGGGUUGGAUGGACUGGCGGCCUUUCAGCUUGUUGGUGUGGUGGUGGCCUAGCAAGGCUUUGACGGGUAGCCGGCCCGUGAGGGGGUCCGGGCCCAUUUGGGCUGUGAGACGGGCCCGAGUCCCACGGGGGGCAGCAGUGGGGGAUAUUGCACACUGGGGGGGAGCCUGAUGCAGCGAAGCCCCGUGCGGGAGAAGGGCCUUUUGGUUUUGAACCGCGUUCAGCAGGGUCAAAGCGUGUGGUGGCGGUAACUGGAUAAGAAGCACCGGCUAACUACGUG